GUGCUCACUUCGGCAGCACAUGUACUAAAAUUGGAAUGAUACAGAGAAAAUUAGCAUGGCCCUGUGCAAAGAUGAGAUGCAAAUUCAUAUAGUGUUCCGUAUUUAA